UUUUCUUUUUCGUCAUGAGAAAUUCUGUCCACCGGCCGAAACAUGCCCCCGUUUGUGUUCUACGUAAAACGCAAUGAUCGAUGUCUACACACUUUUGGCUCCAUCUAUGGGUUAAUCGAUUACGCGAAUAAUCGAUCUUAGAAUUUCUAAUGACAUUUCUGUAACACGCCUAUCGAAAUUUAACAUAUUUAUGCCGACCAUAAACUAGCGAAGGUUCAUUAUUCUAAAAAGUACCGCCAAAUUUAUUAACGUAAUAAUAGAAAUUUCCUAAUACGGUAUUGUUUUUUAUCAAUAUUAUAAAAACGAGGGACACUGACUUUAUAAAAAGAGAGUCGCUGUUUACGCAUCAUGGUAAGUUCCAAUGUUGACAAAGUGAAAAUGCAUGUACUUUGGUGUUGACCUACAUAGAUCGACAAUGCGAUCGAUGAUGGAUCACUGUACAAUUUUCGAAUUCCCGAAACAAGAGAAAGUUUUACAGAAAUAACAGAAUAGAAAACGAACAAUUACUGCAAAAAAUAGUGAGUAUAUUUUUUAGCGUUCCAAAAAUGUAUAAACCCGCGUUGCAAAUAUACACGAAGAACGCACUGGAAAAACCAUCAAUCGUGUUAAGUAAAAUGUUCAACAUUCCAGAAUACAAAAUUCAAUCUUCUUUCUCAUAACAAGUUUCUAAGUAUAUUCAAGAUCCUGUGAUCUAAAUAUUUUACAUUUAAAGCACCGAUAAUGAGCAUUACCUAGGAUGUCGACGGAUUAAGGUCAAUAUUAAAAUACGUCACGAUGAGUUGAAGCACUUCAGGACCAACACAAAGUAUAUAUAUAGGAAAUGUAACAUAACAAGAAGGGCACAAUGUCAUGAGAAAAGUCAACGUCCGAGACGCAUUUGUGCUAUCCCGCACGACUGCACAAGUGCACAAAGAGAGCAUUUGCAACAAAUAUACUUGUCGAUUCUGUUCGGUGAAAGGAGAUAAACAGUAUUAGUUACUUUAAAUCUUGAUUAACCCAGGAAUGAGGAGAUGUCUCCCCGCCGGCAUAGACAGUGCACACUACCACAAGUAUGAUGAUCCAUCUUUCCCACCAUCACUUGCGAAGUAUCUUUAUAAAUCUACUUACUGACCAACCUCAUUUCCAAAUUUGUAAAUUAGAAAUUUAAAGGUUAAAGAGGUUGGUAAUUUUAAAAUAGGUAUUUCUUUA
rnacentral:lncRNA from 1 species